AGCAGCCGCGGUAAUUCCAGCUCCAAUAGCGUAUAUUAAAGUUGUUGCAGUUAAAAAGCUCGUAGUUGAAUUUCGGGGUCAGUAGGCUGGUCGUGCCACAGGUACGUACUGGUCUCACUGAUCCCUCCUUCCUGAUGAACCGUAAUGCCAUUAAUUUGGUGUUGCGGGGAAACUGGACUGUUACUUUGAAAAAAUUAGAGUGUUUAAAGCAGGCUAACGCUUGAAUACAUUAGCAUGGAAUAAUGAAAUAGGACGUUCGAUCCUAUUUUGUUGGUUUCUAGGAUUGACGUAAUGAUUAAUAGGGAUAGUUGGGGGCAUUAGUAUUCAAUUGUCAGAGGUGAAAUUCUUGGAUUUAUUGAAGACUAACUACUGCGAAAGCAUUUGCCAAGGAUGUUUUCAUUAAUCAAGAACGAAAGUUAGGGGAUCGAAGACGAUCAGAUACCGUCGUAGUCUUAACCAUAAACUAUGCCGACUAGGGAUCGGAUGAUGUUAAUUUUUAAUGACUCAUUCGGCGCCUUAA
rnacentral:rRNA from 1 species